CAUUUGGGGUUUGGCAGCGGAUGAUGUGGGCUUUACUUUCAGCAAACCUUAUUGUCUUAUUGAUAUUAUAUGGCAUCUCGGGCUUGAUACUCUAUGGUCCGUGGGUCUUGCUUUCUUUCUUUCAGUGGCUGGAGAUCUAAAAUUUUUGAGCAUGUGGAUUUUUUUGGGGAGCUUGGCGAGGUAUAUUUGAAGAGAAAGGAUCCCAUUGAGCUUCGAAAAAGAGUGCUGUUUCAAUGGUUUGAAGUUUCAAAG
rnacentral:misc_RNA from 1 species